rnacentral:rRNA from 1 species
UACGAAGGGGGCUAGCGUUGCUCGGAAUUACUGGGCGUAAAGCGCACGUAGGCGGCUCUUUAAGUCGGGGGUGAAAUCCUGGAGCUCAACUCCAGAACUGCCUUCGAUACUGGGAGUCUCGAGUUCGGGAGAGGUGAGUGGAACUGCGAGUGUAGAGGUGAAAUUCGUAGAUAUUCGCAAGAACACCAGUGGCGAAGGCGGCUCACUGGCCCGAUACUGACGCUGAGGUGCGAAAGCGUGGGGAGCAAACAGG